rnacentral:lncRNA from 12 species
UACAGUUCCUGACAGCAAUUUCAUUGUGUUUUUACAGGCAAACAAGCCAUGUUUUAGAAGGCAUGAGUAGCUGUGCUAGGAGCUGUGUGAUUCUUACAAUGUGAUGUUUUCACACAUUGAGUCAUGUCAAUAGAGUGAAGUAACAGU